GACGAACGCUGGCGGCGUGCUUAACACAUGCAAGUCGAACGGAAAGGCCCUGCUUUUGUGGGGUGCUCGAGUGGCGAACGGGUGAGUAACACGUGAGUAACCUGCCCUUGACUUUGGGAUAACUUCAGGAAACUGGGGCUAAUACCGGAUAGGAGCUCCUGCUGCAUGGUGGGGGUUGGAAAGUUUCGGCGGUUGGGGAUGGACUCGCGGCUUAUCAGCUUGUUGGUGGGGUAGUGGCUUACCAAGGCUUUGACGGGUAGCCGGCAUGAGAGGGUGACCGGCCACAUUGGGACUGAGAUACGGCCCAGACUCCUACGGGAGGCAGCAGUGGGGAAUAUUGCAGAAUGGGCGGAAGCCUGAUGCAGCAACGCCGCGUGCGGGAUGCCGGCCUUCGGGUUGUAAACCGCUUUCGACUGUGACGAAGCGUGAGUGACGGUAAUGGGUAAAGAAGCACCGGCUAACUACGUG
rnacentral:rRNA from 1 species